rnacentral:rRNA from 1 species
AGGGCUGCGGCAGCUACACAUGCAGUCGAGCGGUAGCACAAGAGAGCUUGCUCUCUGGGUGACGAGCGGCGGACGGGUGAGUAAUGUCUGGGAAACUGCCUGAUGGCGGGGGAUAACUAGUGGAAACGGUAGCUAAUACCGCAUAACGUCGCAAGACCAAAGUGGGGGACCUUCGGGCCUCACGCCAUCAGAUGUGCCCAGGUGGGAUUAGCUGGUAGGUGGGGUAACGGCUCACCUAGGCGACGAUCCCUAGCUGGUCUGAGAGGAUGACCAGCCACACUGGAACUGAGACACGGUCCAGACUCCUACGGGAGGCAGCAGUGGGGAAUAUUGCACAAUGGGCGCAAGCCUGAUGCAGCCAUGCCGCGUGUGUGAAGAAGGCCUUCGGGUUGUAAAGCACUUUCAGCGAGGAGGAAGGGUAAUGUGUUAAAACACAUUGCGCUGAUC